GAUGAACGCUGGCGGCGUGCCUAAUACAUGCAAGUCGAGCGAACGGACGAGAAGCUUGCUUCUCUGAUGUUAGCGGCGGACGGGUGAGUAACACGUGGAUAACCUACCUAUAAGACUGGGAUAACUUCGGGAAACCGGAGCUAAUACCGGAUAAUAUUUUGAACCGCAUGGUUCAAAAGUGAAAGACGGUCUUGCUGUCACUUAUAGAUGGAUCCGCGCUGCAUUAGCUAGUUGGUAAGGUAACGGCUUACCAAGGCAACGAUGCAUAGCCGACCUGAGAGGGUGAUCGGCCACACUGGAUCUGAGACACGGUCCAGACUCCUACGGGAGGAAGCAGUAGGGAAUCUUCCGCAAUGGGCGAGAGCCGGACGGAGCAACGCCGCGUGAGUGAUGAAGGUCUUCGGAUCGUAAAACUCUGUUAUUAGGGAAGAACAUAUGUGUAAGUACCUGUGCACAUCUUGACGGUACCUAAUCAGAAAGCCACGGCUAACUACGUG
rnacentral:rRNA from 1 species